CAGAUUGUGACAGCAGAGCAUUUAACAAGCAAGGGCCUCUCUAAGCAUUGGGCUCUGUGUGACUGCCCAUAUCACCUGCCCCUGAAGCCUGCCUUGAGGGCUUCACUGGAACAGAUAUGAUUAUAGCAAAUCACUCUGCCCACACCCGAGGCUGCAGCCAGAAACCACGGAAACUGACAGACGCCAGCAAAAAGAAAGAAAAAGUUAAGAAAUUUCUUACCAGUAAUCCUCCUUGGGUUUCUGCCUUAGGACUAGUCAGGUGGAAUCCUACUCUGUCGCCAGGCUGGAGUAUAGUGGUG
rnacentral:lncRNA from 1 species